rnacentral:rRNA from 1 species
CAACAGGGAUUGCCUCAGUAACGGCGAGUGAAGCGGCAACAGCUCAAAUUUGAAAUCUGGCGCCUCCGGCGUCCGAGUUGUAAUUUGUAGAGGAUGCUUUGGGGCCGCCACCGGUCUAAGUUCCUUGGAACAGGACGUCACAGAGGGUGAGAAUCCCGUACGUGAUCGGCAGGCACCCUUCGUAAAGCUCCUUCGACGAGUCGGGUUGUUUGGGAAUGCAGCCCUAAAUGGGAGGUAAAUUUCUUCUAAAGCUAAAUACCGGCCAGAGACCGAUAGCGCACAAGUAGAGUGAUCGAAAGAUGAAAAGCACUUUGGAAAGAGAGUUAAAAAGCACGUGAAAUUGUUGAAAGGGAAGCGCUUGCGAUCAGUCUCGACGGCGGCCGCUCCCCCGGUGUUCUCACCGGGUCACUCGGUCGCCGCCGGGCCAGCAUCGGUUCCGGCGGUCGGAUAAAGGUCACGGGAAUGUAGCUCCCCCGGGAGUGUUAUAGCCCGAGGCGCAAUACGGCCAGCCGGGACCGAGGUCCGCGCUUCGGCUAGGAUGCUGGCGAAAUGGUCGUAAGCGGCCC